ensembl:lincRNA
AGCUGUACCAAGCCCUAAUCCAGGAUAGGAAAAUGACAUCUUCAUUAAAAUCCUUGUCACCCAACUCCCUGUCGCAGACCAGCCUUGCAACUGAGGCCCCGUGCAGCCCAGCCCCUGCUCACUCUGUCCCAUCCGGUCCACUCCCGUUUCCACAGAGACGUCCUGCUAAUUACUGUUCCUGAACCUGUCCACAUCACACUCUCCACUGCCGCACCCCAGAUUUUUAAGCUGAGGCCCUCGUCUCCCCCACCUAGCUUGCGUCCCCCUGCAGCACCCCUGGAAGCCUGGACAACACCGGAGAAUAACAGCUAACAGCUGUACAGCGGUUGCUGUGACCCAGACACUGUUCUAAGCAAUCAUUGUUUUAGAGGCCAGAAAGGAUUUCCUCUUUCCAAGGCUGCCCACUGCUCUGCCUGCUGCUGUCCCCACAAAACAGAAGCAGACCUGCUGGGGCCUGCCAGCCUCCGUGCCUGCAACCUUGGCCUCUUUCCUGUGUCUUCGGGCAGAAGCUAGAAGUCAAGAAAGCCCCACCGGGGAUGGGGGGACUGGAGCCGACACUGGGAUUCAGCAGAGGAGGGACCUCUCCAGGGAAUUUGGGCACAAAGAAGCAGGAAGACAAACUAACCAGACCAGAUGUCUUCUCAGAAGGAAUGCACAGUCUGCUGGGGCAGGAGGUCACACCGGCUGCCGCCCAAGGGCUGGAGGCAACAGGAAGGAGAUGGCUGGGCUUCCACUUCCGCCAAACUGGUUCCAGUCCAAAGACUCCACCCUGGCUGGAGAGAGGAGAUUGGGCCUCACUGAAAGGCACCCGGACCUUUCCUUUUCCUGUCAGACAUUAAAGGGCGUUCUGCUUUGUGUAUGCAUUCUUAUUGCUUAUCAUUCCACAGGCAGUCCAGCAGCUAACAUUCCCUGGCACUCACCAGGUGCCUGCUCUAGACUGAAUAUUUGUGCCCCCCCAAUCCCCAGUGUGGUGAUAUCUGGAGACGGGCCCUUGGAGAUGAGGUCAUGAGAACAGAGCUCUCCUGAAUGGGAGUAGUGCUUUCAUAAAAGGACCUCGGCGAGCUCUCUCCUUUCCACCAUGGGUAGAUAGGCAGAUAGCACUAGGAAGUCAGUCCUCGCCAGAUGUUUGAUCUGCUGGUAUCUUGAUCUCAGCCUCCAGAACUUUGAAAAAUAAGUAUCUGUUGUUGAAGCCACCCAGUCUACAGUGUUUUGUUAUAGCAGCCAAAAGAACAAAAAAAACUUGAGUACCAGACAGUGUUCUAAAACUACAUGCAGUAAGAGUUGUUCAACCUCCAAGCAACUAUUUGGGAUUGAUACAUUUUAUAAUUUGCAUUUGACAGAGGAGGAAACCAAGGUACACAGGGGUUAAGAACUCGUGCAGUCUAUGGGUGGUGGAUCUGAGAACCAAACCGCAGCAGUCUGGCUAUAGACUGUUGAUGCUCCUAGCCCCCAGGACAGUAAAGGAGAAAGGACUCUGGGAAGCCCACCAUAUAACAACCCACUAAGGCCUCAAAGGACUUCCUGUGUAGACCAUUUGCUGACCCUGGGGUUGCAGCACCUACAGCUGCCAGCUGACCUCAGCCCUGGGACACCCUUUAAUCCACCAGCCUUCGAGAAGCCAAAGGAAAGUGUGGAUGGUCUGAUUUCCACAGUCUGUCCUGUUCCCUGUGGACCUGCGCUGACUUGUAAGGAGCACAGAUUGGUAAAGGAUGUUAAGACACAAAUGCUGCAUGAGGUAGGAGGUUGGUGCUGGUGGAGGCUGCAUCCGGAGUGCUUCCAUGCCAAGCAUCUGGCAAUUGGUGAGAGUGACUGUAAGUUCAUCAGUGUCUGGGAGCAAGUGGCCAAGGACCCCGUUUUAGGAAGAACUCACCGCACUCACUGCUGGGGACGCAGCCAAGAGGGUCUGAUGCCAAAGUGGGUGCGCUGCUCUGACGUCUCCUGGAUCUGUUCCUCCUGGAUUUUGGACAACAUGUUCUCUGAAGGUGGCCUUUCCUCUCGCAGAGCAUGAUGUAAUCCUCCAAUCCUCGGCUCCAAAUGGUUUGCAGAUUUUCUGCCGUGACCGCUUCUUGUGUUCGGAGACCGCAGGUGGAGAGCACUGGGCUUGAGAACAGCCGUGGGCAGCCCUUGCCCGGAAGCUGCUUCCAUCUUCGGGAACGGGAUUGGUAGCAGGUAGCAGAAAGCACAGGCCAAGCUGAUGUGAAUAAUGAAGAGGAACGUGGGGCUGUGCAACUGAAUGCUUCCUGGGUAGAUUUCAGGUGAAGUUGGAUGUAGGACUCAAACAGGUCCCCAAAGACCUGGCUUUCUUUCCCUCACUGUCUCUGCUUGCUAUGGUGUCACCUUCAUCUGAAGGCUCUCUCUGCGGGAGAGGGCAGCUCAAAGGUGCAGGGAGCGUGCUCCAAAACUUGUGUCUGCAGAAGAAGCGUCUUCCAUGAGUCUUCAGCGAAAGUGUGGGCCUCUGAUUGGCUCAUCAUUUGCCUACUCCUGAACCAAUCACUGAGGCUGUGAGUGCUGAGCAGGCCGCUGCUCACUUUAAGACACUAUGACCUACCCCUGGAUUGGGAAAUAAAGCGCUUUGUCCUCCCAGUACCUUCUUCCUUUGAUGUUUAACACAGAAUUCUCUGGAGUCACUAAAAAUACCAAACCUGGCUCAGCAAAGCAAUAAAGUAAAUGGCAACUACUUACUACCAGUCACUGGAG